rnacentral:lncRNA from 1 species
CAUGUCCAUCAUGAACUCCUUCAUCAACGACAUCUUCGAGAAGCUCGCCGGCGAGUCCGCCAAGCUCGCGAGGUACAACAAGAAGCCCACCAUCACGUCCCGCGAGAUCCAGACCUCCGUCCGCCUCGUCCUCCCCGGCGAGCUCGCCAAGCAUGCCGUCUCCGAGGGCACCAAGGCCGUCACCAAGUUCACCUCGUCCUAGGCUCCUCGUGCGUUGAGUCUUGUGUUUCUUUCUUCUUCCUCGUCUGAGGAACUCUGUAGGUAGCUGUGUGUUUUCUGACAGUGUCAUGUUGUAACAAUGGUGCUGCUGAAUAAAUAGUCAUGUUGCUGCUUGAAUGGAUGACUGUCGCCUUG